rnacentral:rRNA from 1 species
AGAGUUUGAUCCUGGCUCAGGAUGAACGCUGGCGGCGUGCCUUACACAUGCAAGUCGUGCGGAGAAGAUUUGUUGAGGCAACUCAGCAAGCCUUCUUAGCGGCAAACGGGUGAGUAAUGGAUGGGUAACCUACCCUGAAGAUGAGGAUAGCCUUCCGAAAGGAAGGGUAAUACUCAGUAAUGUUACAGAGCCUUGGCUCUGUAAAGAAAGACGGCCUCUGUUUCAUGCUGUCGCUUUAGGAUGGGCUCAUCUCCUAUCAGCUAGUUGGUGAGGUAAUGGCUUACCAAGGCGAUGACGGGUAGCUGGUCUGAGAGGAUGGUCAGCCACACUGGGACUGCGACACGGCCCAGACNNUCCUACGGGAGGCAGCAGUGGGGAAUAUUGGUCAAUGGGCGAAAGCCUGAACCAGCGACGCCGCGUGGAGGACGAAAGCCGAAAGGCUGUAAACUCCUUUUGUAAGGGAAAAAGGGAUGGAUGCGAAUAACAUUUCAUCUUUGAUUGUACCUUGCGAAUAAGCCCCAGCCAACUACGUGCCAGCAGCUGCGGUAAAACGUAGGGGGCAAGCGUUAUCCGGAAUUACUGGGUGUAAAGGGUAUGCAGGCGGGUCUAUAAGUUAAGUGUAAAAACUUGAGGCUUAACCUCAAGCUUGCGCUUGAUACUGUAGGCCUGGAGAGCAGGAGAGGGAAGUGGAAUUCCCGGUGUAGCGGUAAAAUGCUUAGAUAUCGGGAGGAACACCAGCGGCGAAGGCGGCUUCCUGGCCUGUCUCUGACGCUCAGGUACGAAAGCUAGGGGAGCAAACAGGAUUAGAUACCCUGGUAGUCCUAGCCCUAAACGAUGGGUGCUUGGUGUUGGGAGAUUUUCUCUCGGUGCCGAAGCUAACGCGUUAAGCACCCCACCUGGGGAGUACGACCGCAAGGUUGAAAC